AUUGAACGCUGGCGGCAGGCCUAACACAUGCAAGUCGAGCGAGCGGCGGACGGGUGAGUAAUGUAUGGGGACUGCCCGACAGAGGGGGAUAACUACUGGAAACGGUGGCUAAUACCGCAUACUAUCGGAUAACCAUUAGGGGAUUAGCUAGUAGGUGGGGUAAAGGCUCACCUAGGCGACGAUCGCUAGCUGGUCUGAGAGGAUGAUCAUCCACACUGAGACUGAGACACGGCCCAGACUCCUACGGAGGCAGCAGUGGGGAAUAUUGGACAAGGGGCACAAGCCUGAUGCAGCCAUACCGCGUGUAUGAAGAAGGCCUUAGGGUUGUAAAGUACUUUCAGCAAGGAGGCGUUCCCCGCAGAUGACGCACCGGCUAACUCCGUGCCAGCAGCCGCGGUAAUUC
rnacentral:rRNA from 1 species